rnacentral:rRNA from 1 species
CUGCCCCCAUUGGUUUGAGGGCUGUUUUUUUGUUUUUCGUCAGUAGGUGUUGUACCUUUUGCAUCAUGAUUCAUUGAGGUUUUCUCCUUAUUUGGUGGUUUCUCGAAGGAUGGCGAUUUCUUUCUAACCUGCUUUGAUCUGAGUGUCUUACAGGUUGUUGGCUGUUAGAGUUGAGGGGUGUUGUGAUAAAUAGUUCGUGCUGUUCUAUAACUAGUUUGUUGUUUCCUUUUUCAUUUGUAUUCCUCUUGUCUGGAUAUGAGGGGGAGGUUAAGAGGUGUUUAUUGUCUUAGAUUUGGUCUGGGUUGGGGGUACCUUGAUUUUCUUGGUGUGUUAUAACUAGUCUUAUUUAUUUGAUUUUCUUUGUUUGGGUUUACAACUAUUUAGUUAUGGUUAUAAAGUAUGGUGAAAUAAGUAGUUUGAUUAGUCUUCUUUUUUCUCGGAUUCCCUCGAUCUGUUUAUUAAAAACAUUUCCAUUAUUAAGGUUUGAUGGUAGUGCCUGCCCAAUGCUUUUAUGGUGAAUGGCCGCAGUAUCUUGACUGUGCUAAGGUAGCAUAAUUAGUUGCCCUGUAAUUGAGGGAUUGUUUGAAAGGUUUGAUUAGAGGGGGGAUUGUUUGUCUAGAUGGGGAUUUUUUUUGAAUUUGGUUUUUUGGUGCAGAAUCCAAAGAUGUUUAGUAAGACGGAAAGACCCCGAGAGCUUGGAUUUAUUUUUUACUUGGGGAGGGGGUAUAUGUUUCAUGUAUUUUUUGAUCCUCUGCGGAUUGUAGGGAUGAGUUACCUCGGGGAUAACUAGGUAAUAAGUAAGGAGAGAUCAUAUUGAUUUGCUUGGUUGCCAUCUCGAUGUUGGCUUGAGGGAAUGGGGGGGCGCAGUAGCUUUCUUGUUUGGUCUGUUCGACCGUAGUUCCUCAUGAGUUGAGUUAAGACCGGUGUAAGCCAGGUCGGUUCUUAUCUGCUUAGGCUGUGUUCUAGUACGAAAGGAUUGUUCAC